GUGGGGGAGACACCUUGAUCAUGAAGGAGGUUUUCCCAAGGUGAGGAUCAUCCAUUGCACUAUGGGUGUGCUGACCCCUGCGAUUUCCCCAAAUGCGGGGAUUGCGUUUGC